AGAGUUUGAUCAUGGCUCAGAUUGAACGCUGGCGGAAUGCUUUACACAUGCAAGUCGAACGGCAGCACGGGGCAACCUGGUGGCGAGUGGCGAACGGGUGAGUAAUACAUCGGAACGUGCCCAAUCGUGGGGGAUAACGUAGCGAAAGUUACGCUAAUACCGCAUACGAUCUACGGAUGAAAGCGGGGGAUCGCAAGACCUCGCGCGAGUGGAGCGGCCGAUGUCAGAUUAGGUAGUUGGUGGGGUAAAGGCUCACCAAGCCAACGAUCUGUAGCUGGUCUGAGAGGGCGACCAGCCACACUGGAACUGAGACACGGUCCAGACUCCUACGGGAGGCAGCAGUGGGGAAUUUUGGACAAUGGGCGCAAGCCUGAUCCAGCCAUUCCGCGUGCAGGAUGAAGGCCUUCGGGUUGUAAACUGCUUUUGUACGGAACGAAACGGCGAGCUCUAAUACAGUUUGCUAAUGACGGUACCGUAAGAAUAAGCACCGGCUAACUACGUG
rnacentral:rRNA from 1 species